UACAGAGGGGGCGAGCGUUGUUCGGAAUUACUGGGCGUAAAGGGCGCGUAGGCGGCCCGCUAAGUCGAACGUGAAAUCCCCAGGCUCAACCUGGGAACUGCAUCCGAUACUGGAUGGCUUGAAUCCGGGAGAGGGAUGCAGAAUUCCAGGUGUAGCGGUGAAAUGCGUAGAUAUCUGGAGGAAUACCGGUGGCGAAGGCGGCAUCCUGGACCGGCAUUGACGCUGAUGAGCGAAAGCUAGGGGAGCAAACGGG
rnacentral:rRNA from 1 species